CCGACUGGAAUACUGGCCUCAAAAGAAUUUUACAGAGGGUCUGUGAGUGGGCACAGAUCACCUCGGAGCGCUUCGGUAAGGUGAUCAUUGUCUUAGGGGCCCUCUUCACAGUGAGUAAACCAAUCCUUUUCCCAUCUAUGUUCUAGUAUUAGUAAUCUUUGGUAGUCUGCAGUCUGUUGUGUGCAGCAUUUCAGUGUAGCUAAGAGAAAUUUGUUCAUUCACGUAAUGCCUCUGCAGUGACUGUUGGUUACUAUUCAUGGUUUUGCGGCUUUGCCCCUCUUUUAGAGGAGAAAAAAAGCAAUUAAUUCAUUUGUUUCCAAUGCAUCUGCUCCUAUACCUUUCUUUCGCAUCACGCCUUGCUUUAACCUGAAAUAUCCUGGUGCGCUAUUGUUAGAGGUUCUGAAAUAUCCUGAGUCAUGCAAAUUCAAAUAAACCUGCAUCCCUAUAUGUUCAUGUACAGUUGUACAUUUGCCAACUCUUGAAAGAAGUAAAGCUGUAAUGGGAGCUCCCUGGUAACAAGACUUAUACCACAAAAUCUAUGUAUUGUUGGCUUCCAAGCCCCAUUAUUUAGUCAAACUCUGGAGGUUAACAAUCCCUUUGAAGAUCAGGGUUUUUACAUGGCAAGUUUUCCAUGAUAGAAUGCCUACAAGAGAACAAAUACUUCAUAGACAUGGGCCUACAGAUGGCAAGUGUCCCAUGUGUGAAGAAACCCAAAUAACUGAUCGUCUUUUCUUUUGCCGUCUCGUUGCUAUUGUGGCCUAAUCUUUUGUUGGGGAAUUUUGGGUUGGAAUUGGGGCCCUCUAUCAAUCCAAGAUAUGAUUACUUGGCUGAAACAUGAGGCAAACGGGAGCAUCUAUUAUAUUUGAUUUUGGGAUUACCGUGGUUUGGUGAGCUCUUUGGAACAUCCGAAAGGAUGUACAAUUGUACUUAAUCAGCGACACUUAAUAUGGAUCAGAGGGAGUAAUAAUUUUUUAGCGCCCGAGGCUAUCAAGCAUCCAACUGAGGCUAUCUUUCACAUGUCACUUUUCCUGCAGAAAUGGAGCCUUCUUUGGCACGGCAAGAAGCAGUAUUUCUUCAGCGCAAUCAUUAGCGAGUGCUGUCAAUGAUAACCUGCAGAUUAUUAGUGGGAUGCUUUGUUGCUCAGAUUCUGUAAUCACUAAUGUCUGUUUAACCUUCACCGUAUCCUGAAUUUCUGAUUCUAUGUUUGUCUGUUAGGGAGUCUUGAACUAUGUUCUCUUCACUUUGAUUGUUCAUAUGUACUAACCCCCUCCCCCUUGGUUCAUUUUCCGGGUGACAAAUGGAAUACCUUUUCAAAGUAUAUGCAUAUUGAAUCUUCGAGCCGUAGAAAACAUGUGCACAAAUUUUGUGACAUGACAUCUUACCGCUCCACUGCCCCCGCAAUUCAGUUCGACAUUGCAAUGAAUUUGUGGUCUGUUUGAG
rnacentral:lncRNA from 1 species